GACGAACGCUGGCGGCGUGCUUAACACAUGCAAGUCGAACGGAAAGGCCCUGCUUUUGUGGGGUGCUCGAGUGGCGAACGGGUGAGUAACACGUGAGUAACCUGCCCUUGACUUUGGGAUAACUUCAGGAAACUGGGGCUAAUACCGGAUAGGAGCUCCUGCUGCAUAGUGGGGGUUGGAAAGUUUCGGCGGUUGGGGAUGGACUCGCGGCUUAUCAGCUUGUUGGUGGGGUAGUGGCUUACCAAGGCUUUGACGGGUAGCCGGCCUGAGAGGGUGACCGGCCACAUUGGGACUGAGAUACGGCCCAGGCUCCUACGGGAGGCAGCAGUGGGGAAUAUUGCACAAUGGGCGGAAGCCUGAUGCAGCAACGCCGCGUGCGGGAUGACGGCCUUCGGGUUGUAAACCGCUUUCGCCUGUGACGAAGCGUGAGUGACGGUAAUGGGUAAAGAAGCACCGGCUAACUACGUG
rnacentral:rRNA from 1 species